UUGAACGCUGGCGGCAGGCCUAACACAUGCAAGUCGAACGGUAACAGGAAGCAGCUUGCUGCUUCGCUGACGAGUGGCGGACGGGUGAGUAAUGUCUGGGAAACUGCCUGAUGGAGGGGGAUAACUACUGGAAACGGUAGCUAAUACCGCAUAACGUCGCAAGACCAAAGAGGGGGACCUUAGGGCCUCUUGCCAUCGGAUGUGCCCAGAUGGGAUUAGCUAGUAGGUGGGGUAACGGCUCACCUAGGCGACGAUCCCUAGCUGGUCUGAGAGGAUGACCAGCCACACUGGAACUGAGACACGGUCCAGACUCCUACGGGAGGCAGCAGUGGGGAAUAUUGCACAAUGGGCGCAAGCCUGAUGCAGCCAUGCCGCGUGUAUGAAGAAGGCCUUCGGGUUGUAAAGUACUUUCAGCGGGGAGGAAGGGAGUAAAGUUAAUACCCUUGCUCAUUGACGUUACCCGCAGAAGAAGCACCGGCUAACUCCGUG
rnacentral:rRNA from 1 species